CAUUUGGCACCCGAAAAUUUGAGAAAAUGGCUCCAUAAGAGGAACUGAAGAGGAAGUCUAUGAAGCCAGGGAAGUGGUCUGCUUGGGGAGCGCCAAGGAGAGGCCACCUGGGUGCCAUGUCAGAUUUGGUGAACCUGCAUUCUCUUUUGUUCGAAUGCAUUGCAUCUUCGGUAACUGCAAAGCAUCAGUUACAAUACUGAAACUUGAUUGUGCAAUUUCAGAUGUGCUUGCUUAUGGUUCAUUUGAUGGUAGUUUGGCGGUUUGCCAGGUUUCUGACCCACCAUCGUUCUUCAAAAACUAAUAGGACAUUAUAAAGAUAUCGCAGGUGCUAAAAAAUAUUUGCCCAGUCUAGGGAUGUCGAAUGUCACAUUUGGUGGUUUACAACUGUUGAAAGAUCAUGUCUACUACAUGCAAGUGCAGAGACAAAACCACAGUAAGUUUCUAUGAUCUUCAUGUUAUUCUCCUAGGAUUAUUGCUUCUUCUUUUUUACCAAGGUUUGAUGUUUCUCAUCUUAUUUAUUUAGGGUAUAUCCAGCACAUAUCUAUAUGCAAGGCAGUCUUAACCAUUGAAGCAAGUAAAUACAUUGCAAAAGUUCUCUUUGUUCAGCUUCCUAUGCGCCCUUUUCCAGUGGUUCUAUACUGCUGGAGAUAACUGUUGAUUUAAGAGCUUCACUACAUUAGUCCUUCAAGAUUUACAAGAACA